GAGUCCGCUUCCAGGCCGAGUCUUUCCUGACCCUCAGAGCGAAGGUCGUCCCAGCCGUGCGACCCCGCGAGGCGGACCGGCGAGCGCCACCCGGCCCGGACGGGUGCUGGCGGCUGUUGACGGGGACAGGCGACACCCGACUCAGUCAUCCUCCUCCUGCAGCCAUCCGCUCUUUCAGAGUUCCUGGCUCCUCUGCGCGCAGGUGGUGCCGAAGCCGCGUGUCGCCCGCCCGCAGUCAGGCGGUGGGGGUGGGGCUGGGGCCUGCGGCUCGGGGCGCGGGCGGCGGGGGCAUUCGGUGACGGUGACUCGAGGUGACCCUGCGGGAAGCAGCAGGAGCUGCCCCGGUCCAUGCGGGCGGAGACGAGCGCGCGACCUGGAGAGCAGGGCGAGGACCAGCGGCCCAGCGCAAACACCCAGGCCUCGCGGCUCAGCUGGGGGAAGAACCGGGCCUUGGCCAGGGGUCCCGACUGGGGACGACUCCCAGACCCCGGGGCUGCCCCUGCAGCCUGUGCAGCCCGCAGCGAGUGACAGUCCCCAGCGAGGUACCUCGCGCACUCCCCUGAGGUGACACAGUCUCCCGUGAGAUGACCAUUCUCCUAAGAUGACACGCUCACCUGAGCUGACACACUCGCCUCUGAGGUCAGGGGCCGAGCCUGGGUCAAUGGUGUCCCUCCAGGCUGCACACAGUGGUCCGUGACCCUGGGACCAGCAAGACAGAUGCACCGCACCGUCGUCACAUAGGCCCUCGUCACAUAGGCCCUCCUCUUCCCUUGUCCUCGUUGUUUUGUAACUCCAGAGAUUUAAAGUGAGAGUCCUGGUCUUCCCUGAGACUUUGCUUUCCCAGAGGUUGUGAUCCUGUAGGAGAGAGGCACCCCUACCCGCGUUGGAGCCCUUUUGGCUCAGCUGGGCUUUAAUGUCCUUGACUCAAGUCUCCUGGCUGCAGCAGAAAUGAAACAAACACGGCCACAGAGUGCUUGUGCGUGAAGAGAAACCUUAAAUGAUGGAGUUUGCUAUGUUGCCCUGGCUGACCUUGAACUCCUGGAUUCAAGCAUUUCUCCUGCCUUUGCCUCCUGAGGACCUGGGACUACAGAUUCUUUCCUCUGUCUGCACAUUUGAAUUUCAGUAAUACUAUGAUAGAUACCUAAGUUAACAGGGGCAAAUGAAACAAACAACUAAAUCUGAAGCCUCCUGGAAGGGAACAAAACCAGCAUGAAGAGUCCCUGGAGAUCAGACUGCUUUUUAUUCCUGGACACUGUGAUCUGACAUAAAAAAGGAAGAAAAUAUAUGUAGCCAUGGCUAUUUGGUUCAUAUCUGAUUUGUAUGUAUUUUUCCUCAGCUAAUAUGUUUUUAUCAGCUGUUGAGUCAACAACAAGGCAAAAGCUGCCCUGCUGUUUGCUCAGAAACCAUAAUAGGAAAACUGUUUUCUCAGAAGUUUCAGUCAUCUUUUUAAUGA